AAAUUGCUGUGGUGGUUUGAAGCAGUGAAUUUGAAGAAAGUGAGGAUGAACAGAUUGACAUACUUGAUGUGGAGGUAUUAGAAUGAAUGACUGGCAACAAGAUUGGCAGCAAAGUUGCAUAUUGGUCAAUACUUAUGUCUUUGGUAGCUAUAGACUUUGAUAAUUUGCCGUUUCGAAGAUUAAUGGAAUUUUUUGGAAGAUUAGUGACAUGCCAAACAUGAAGGGCACUAUGGGAAGGUUUUUGGGGGCGCACGUUUGCUUGAAAAAGCAACAAGAGUCAAGGACUAUACCAAAAACGGUCUUGACAAGAAGUUGGUUGACCCUGACAACGGUGUAAACAUUGCACAAAAGAUGCUGAAGCUUGGCCUCACCGAGGAGAUAGUCAGUCCUGAAAUCAAAGAAAACUUUCCUUCCAAUGGAUUUACCUUUGUGUUAGGUCAAUUACCAAAGAUCUGUUACAGCCACAUAUUGAGGAUGUGGAGUUACGCAAGUAGCUUUCAACAGAAAACCCUAUAGUGAAAGGUUACAACUUCUAUAAAUCUGGACAUGUCUUGCAAAUAUGGACUAAACAAGAAAAUAGUCUUCACUAUGUGAGAAGCAGAGUUUUGCCUUCUAUGACAAAGACGAAGGUUUACACAGUAAACAUUAUUUUUCAUCCCAGUGGAAAUAUUUCAAAAGCAUACUGUGGCUGUCCUGCAGGCAUUGAUAGCAGGUGUAAUCACCUUGCAGCUACUCUAUUUGCAAUAGAAGUACAGAGCA